GCCCGAGUAGCUCAGAGGCAGAGCAAUUCCAUGGUAAGGAAUAGGCCAGGGGUUCAAGUCCCCUCUCGGGCU
rnacentral:tRNA from 1 species